GUGAGGGAGGGUGUGACUAGUGACAGAGUGAGGGAGGGUGUGACUAGUGACAGAGUGAGGGAGGGAGUGACUAGUGACAGAGGGAGGGAUGGGGUGAAUAGUGACAGUCACCACCUCCUUCACUCUGUCACUGUGUCACCCCCUUCCUCACUCUGUCACUGUGUCACCCCUUCCUCACUCUGUCACUGUGUCACCCCUUCCUCACUCUGUCACUAGUCACCCACUCCCUCCCUCAC